CCCGAGUUCUGCCGGGGCAAUUACAGUGACUAAGCAUGACAAAUCACUCUCAGCACAGUGUCUGCUCGCUGUUAAGAAAUGUGUUUGCCUCACUGUUUUGCCUGGUGCGGCAACAUUUUAAAAAUAGACUCGCUCACUGUACGCGAAGGCAAUUUGUUCCAAAUUUUCCCACUAAUUUGAUUUUAAUCUGAUAUUUAAAAUUCGUGUGACCACAUUCCCACUGAUUUAUAGGGAAUAAGCCCUACCUGGCGGCACUGUAAUUGGCUUUGGCCCAGGAGUCCACAGGACAGAGCAUUUAUCCCAGAACAAUUUGAAGGCACUCAUGUCUUAAUGUUUUAAAUAUAGCCUAAUUUAGCCUCACAAGUUCUGAUUCCCUGGGGGCAGGACAAUGAGUGUUAAGGUUGCUCUGCUCAGGUAGAGAGGGACCUGGCACUUUGGUGGUACACACAGAACUGCACAAAUCCAGCCCAGACAUCCUGAAUCGGUACACACUAAUGUGUAUUCAUUCAGGAGUGCACAUGGACGGAAGUAAUUUGUUCCCCUGAUAAGUGGAAGUUUCCUGUUCCUCUCAUACCAUUGUGGGGAUGAGCUGUGAAGCUGGACCAUACAGUCCUGGCUUCAAACUAAAUUCUGGCUUUGCCUCUGGCUGGCUGGGUGGCACUCUCCAAGCCUCUCCGUGCCUCUGCCGUUCAGUUUCCUUUUAUGCAAAUCGUAUGCAAAACCAGUACCUCAUCAUCAUGGAGUUGUGAAAGGUAAACAGGCCAGGCUUGUGAGACACUUGGCCCAAGUGAGCCAUCCCUGUGUGGGAGGAGUGCGACACACCUCUGUCCCUGAAAAACUGUGAAUAAUUUAGGGCAAAAACCUUGUCCUCAGAUAUCCAAGGACAUGCAGUCAUGUUAACCUUGCUUUAAAAAAUAAAGAAAAAAAAAUCUCCCCCUCCCAAAAAGGAUUCUUCUUAAUUCCUUCGAAGGCAUCCCCCAGCUUCUGGAUGCAGGGCUGCUGUGUCUCUAAGUGGUGACUGCAGAUUAAUAAGGACAAGUAUCCUUGCUGGGGUGACACCCCAAUCUCCACAGAACAUUCAGUCCCUUGGAGUUCCCUUUGGACUCUUUCUUCCUUCCCCUCCUCCUGCCUCCUUUUCUCUGCUCCCACUUCUCUUUCUUAGUGCUUUUUUCCCCCCUCUUUCGGGACAGUCUCUAACUUUAGAUACAUACCUGGCUUCGUGAAAAGGUAAAUACAUACCUUUUCAUUCAGAAAGCUGUUCCCUGAAAGAGUUGGGAGGCUUUGAAUUCCCUUCAUCACUGGGAGGAGAGCAGGAGCCAUACACUGUGUGUGAGGGGUGUGGGGACCAUUCCUACUGUCUCCCUCCCUCUGUUCUCCCCUAAAUGAUCCUGAGCCAGGAAGAGUGAUGCAGAAUGUCUCUCACCCUGUGGAAGAGUUGGUCAGGCUGGUCCUCAGACAACCAGGGAAGCUCUUGGGGUCCUGGAGAAUAGGCACAUAGCAGAUAAAAGGAGUUCUUAACCAAACUUCCCUAGAACGGAGGGAGCUAACAAGAAAGAACUUUGGAAAUCUACCCUCCUCUUUCCCUGUCACUGCCAGGAAUGUCACCAUGAGAGCAGUUUCAGUUAAUGAGCAAACUCCUCAGACAAGGCAGGAAGGCAGCUCUUGGGCCUCACUGUCAAGCACAGGAAGCGACUGGAUUCCACUUGCCCGGUGUAGGGAUGACAGCAGGUCAGCUCCUCUCCAAUUACCCAGAAUGGGUGAGAGUUGAAGAUCUAGAAACAGAUUGCUGAGGCAGGAGAACAAAUGGUGACCCCUGCGCCUGCCCACGUUCCUGGAGGAAAACAGGAGCCAGUAGAGAGUGAGCUGACUCGGUGUGACUCCCUUAACAUUGACACAAAAGAGAAACUAUCAUAGGUCAUGGGUACCAGCAUCCCCAGUUCUCAUCAGGAAGCAGUACCCCAGGGCACAUGUCCCACAGACUGCUGAAAGAGAUCUUGCUCAGGGUUUCCCAGGAUGAGGGGGUGCAGGAGCCCCCCAGAAGUGCCCAUCCUCUAACCAACUGGGGGCCAGCUAAGCAGACAUCUUGGUCAAGCCUCAGCCCGUAGACUUGUGCUCUUGUGGCAUAAGAUGAGCCUCUGGGAACCAACUCGAGACCUACUGUUUGGGAGUUCGCCGGAGCAACGAGCCCCUUCUGAGGCCUCUAAGCUGCUGAGCUCUGCAGGAUUGAGGUCAUGAUCCCUGCCAUGUUCCAGAGGCUUCACAAGAAGAUGAAGGGACCCAGGAGGAGAUUGUGGGUCCAUGGGAACUGUCAGGCCCCAGAGAACCUCCUAGCCCAUGCUGGAAGAGAAGGCCAUUCCAUCUGGGAAUCACAUGGCACUGGGUGGAGAGAGAACCGACUGGGCCUGACGCCUUGCAGAACCAGCAUCCAGCCUGUGUCCAAAGUGCUCCUGGAACCACAGAAUGUUUCAUGCCUCCAACCCUGCCCCCUCUGUCUGUCUGUCUGUUUGUCCAUCUGUCCAUCUGUCUCUCUCUCUCUCUCUCUCUCUCUCUCUCUCUCUCUCUCUGUGUGUGUGUGUGUGUGUGUGUUACAUACAUGUAUAACAUUCAACACUCACACUCAUGCUCUGGCCCAUGACUUUAUCCAUGUGCUCAGCAUCCUCCCAUCCAGAAAUCUCCAAGGCUCCCAACUGCACAGGCGACCAGCCUGAGUUCUCUGCCGGUCACUCCCAGGCUCCACCCAGCCCUUCCCCAGCCCCUUCACACAGCCCAGCUCAGCCAGGCAGGUCUCCCC
rnacentral:lncRNA from 1 species